AACAUCGCGCACCUGCGGGAACCUGCGGAAGGAUCAUUAAUGAUUGGUGGCUGUUGCUGACUAGUGUUUCUAGUAUGUGCACGCCACACCUUCAAUCCCACUUACACCUGUGCACCUUCUGUAAUAGAUCUAUGUGGAUACGGAGAUGUGAAAGUUUGCGCUCUCCUACUCUGUUGAAGCAGUCUACUACGUUUUUUUACACGCACACACACAAUAGUCAUUGAAUGUAUUUUUUAUUCU
rnacentral:misc_RNA from 1 species